CUUCUUAACCACGGUCAGGUUAAAAAUAGUCCAGAACUUUCAUUAUGUGAAAAUUCUGGAAAAAUAGUCCCAACUACCUAAGGGAAUUAAGAAGUAGGCCUACAGAUUCUCCGCAUGGCCUGAGUGAGGCCCAAGGAGCUAGGCCGCCCUGGAAUUAAACCCUUAGAAGUAGUAUGACCUGUACAAUUUUGUGCCUUUCGUUGUCUGGUCUAGGGGGUAGUACAUACGCCAAGCGUGAUUGGCUUGGUUUAAGCCAUUUCAGGGGAGGUGUCGCCUUUCAUUGUCUGGUCCAGGGGUAAUACACACGGCAAGCUUGAUCAACUUGACGGAGCCGGCUCGAGGAGGGUGUCUAAUGUAAAGGCUCGAAACACCCGAAGAUCCGAGAGUGCAUUACUGAUGAUGUGUCCUGGCACAUGAUAAUGAAAGGUUUCGAUUUUCCUAUACAAGCAGCUGGCUUAGGAGCUCAGACUUUAAAUUCUGCAGACUAACCUUUGCCAGCUAAACAUAGAGAUCCACCAGCCCUACACUUAAACCUAAUCCUAAAGUCCAAAAGGGGCAUACACCCCCAUAAAUAGGCAAAUUCCAAGAGGGGUAGUCACCCCCAUAAACCCUAGGCAACUUCCAAGGGGGGCAUACACCCCCACAAACCCUAGGCAUUCCCCGAUUAACUUUUGAUAUUCUGAGAGGGGUAGGAUUCAACAAGGGCAAGUGUGGGACCUGGUUAAUGAAGGCGUGGGCCAGAUCAAAGUGGCAGGGUGAUGUGAAACAGAAUCUCAAGUGGGGAGAUCAGAAAUCACAAGAGGGCUUUUUAGCCCACUGCCCGCAUAAUUUCAACCUAACCUAUCAGUGACACGCUCUUCAUUCUCCCGGCCCCAGAGAGGCCAAUAAGAAAACCCAGAUAUUUUAUUUCACCUAUCGGGUGUUAAAAAAUUCAUAGUUAAAAGAAUGGAGAGGUUCACCAAUUAGCAGCUAAUGUACCUUUAAGGGCUGAGGUGAGCCGGUCUCCUAGCAACAGCCAGGUUUGCAGUAGGUGGACAAUUAGGUUUUAGUAUCACAUUAGUUAAAAGAGGCCCUGCGGGGGGAAGAAGGUGAGGGACGUUUUAACUGGAUAGCAGUACUGUCUGGGUUUAGAGACUCCACAGAAGACCCGAGUGACGGACGAGAGUCGAGUUGGACCUUCCGGUCGGGAAUCACGCUUUUUUGAAGGCAAUUGGUUGGAGUCGAAAUCGCAGACGCAAGAUAAGCAUUUGAAUGGGGCACGACUGCGCAAGCGAGUGAAAGUCAGCCCAUGAGGCAGCGGGAGUGUUUAAAAAGCGAACAGAUUAACGGAAUGGGCGAUGGAGUAGAGGGAGACAGAGUAGGAAGGCUUUGGCUUGAGAUACUUCAGUGAGCAAAGCCUAAGGACGACCUUGUUCCCAUUCAGUAAUCGGGGUUGGUGCACAGGAAGUUCAGCGAGGAGAAGCAAAGAGGGAGGACGUGCUGGAAACGCUCUGGUCAACCACCGUGGUUGGUCCCAGUCCAAGAGUCGUGGAGUUCAGAGGAAAUCGAAUGAUAUUGCGUGAGGACCGAGGAUAUUGUGUGAGCUCCAACAUGUGCACAAACUGUAUAAUCUCUAUUCUUGGUGCCUUUUUAUUUUAUAUUUUUAUUUCGCUACUAAC